rnacentral:rRNA from 1 species
GAUGAACGCUAGCGGCAGGCCUAACACAUGCAAGUCGAGGGGCAGCACGUCUUCGGAUGGUGGCGACCGGCGCACGGGUGCGUAACGCGUAUGCAACCUACCUCUUACAGUGGGAUAGCCCAGAGAAAUUUGGAUUAAUACCGCAUAGUAUACAGAUUCAGCAUUGAGACUGUAUUAAGCAUUUAUGGGUAAGAGAUGGGCAUGCGUUCUAUUAGUUAGUUGGAGUGGUAACGGCACCCCAAGACAGCGAUAGAUAGGGGCCCUGAGAGGGGGAUCCCCCACACUGGUACUGAGACACGGACCAGACUCCUACGGGAGGCAGCAGUGAGGAAUAUUGGGACAAUGGGCGAGAGCCUGAUCCAGCCAUGCCGCGUGCAGGAAGACGGCCCUAUGGGUUGUAAACUGC